rnacentral:rRNA from 1 species
GACGUAGGGCGCGAGCGUUGUCCGGAUUUAUUGGGCGUAAAGAGCUCGUAGGCGGCUUGUCGCGUCGUCCGUGAAAACCUGCGGCUCAACUGCAGGCUGGCGGUCGAUACAGGCAGGCUGGAGUUCGGUAGGGGAGACUGGAAUUCCUGGUGUAGCGGUGAAAUGCGCAGAUAUCAGGAGGAAUACCGGUGGCGAAGGCGGCAUCCUGGACCGGCAUUGACGCUGAGUGAGCGAAAGCCAGGGGAGCAAACGGG